UACGUAGGGGGCAAGCGUUGUCCGGAUUUAUUGGGCGUAAAGAGCGUGUAGGCGGCUGGGUAGGUCCGUUGUGAAAACUCGAGCUCAACCUCGAGACGCCGAUGGAAACCCUCCAGCUAGAGUCCGGAAGAGGAGAGUGGAAUUCCUGGUGUAGCGGUGGAAAUGCGCAGAUAUCAGGAAGAACACCCGUGGCUAAGGCGGCUCUCUAGUACGGUACUGACGCUGAGACGCGAAAGCGUGGGGAGCGAACAGG
rnacentral:rRNA from 1 species